AGCGAACGUUAGCGGCGCGCCUAACACAUGCAAGUCGGACGAGAAAGGCCUUCGGGCUGAGUAAAGUGGCGCACGGGUGCGUAACACGUAGGCAAUCUACCUUUAGGCGGGGGAUAACUA
rnacentral:rRNA from 1 species